rnacentral:rRNA from 1 species
GGUUCAGGAUGAACGCUAGCGGCAGGCUUAACACAUGCAAGUCGAGGGGCAGCGGGAUGUAGCAAUACAUUGCCGGCGACCGGCGGAUGGGUGCGUAACGCGUAUGCAACCUACCUUAUACAGGGGAAUAACCUUUCGAAAGGGAGACUAACACCCCAUAGUAUUGAUUUAAGGCAUCUUAGAUUAAUUAAAUAUUUAUAGGUAUAAGAUGGGCAUGCGUAUGAUUAGCUAGUUGGUAAGGUAACGGCUUACCAAGGCGACGAUCAUUAGGGGUUCUGAGAGGAAGGUCCCCCACACUGGUACUGAGACACGGACCAGACUCCUACGGGAGGCAGCAGUGAGGAAUAUUGGUCAAUGGGCGCAAGCCUGAACCAGCCAUGCCGCGUGCAAGGAAGACGGCCUUAUGGGUUGUAAACUGCUUUUACAUAAGACUAACCGUAUAUUUGCGAAUAUACCUGAAUGUAUUAUGAGAAUAAGGAUCGGCUAACUCCGUGCCAGCCGCCGC